ACUUUGGUUUGUUGAGGCUGUUUUUUCCCUUAAACUAUUGUUUUAAUGCUAUACAUACUUCCCACAUAUCCAGAUUGCAUCUUA